rnacentral:rRNA from 1 species
CGGCACGGGUGAGUAACACGUAUCCAACCUGCCGUCUACUCUUGGCCAGCCUUCUGAAAGGAAGAUUAAUCCAGGAUGGUAUCAUGAGUUCACAUGUCCGCAUGAUUAAAGGUAUUUUCCGGCAGACGAUGGGGAUGCGUUCCAUUAGAUAGUAGGCGGGGUAACGGCCCACCUAGUCAACGAUGGAUAGGGGUUCUGAGAGGAAGGUCCCCCACAUUGGAACUGAGACACGGUCCAA